ensembl:lncRNA
GGUACUGGAUAACAGGCAGGGAAUGAAAAAGUUAUUUUAUUAAUAACAUAGCAAAAAGGCAGGAAAAGGGUAGAUUCCUCUCUAAAAGCUCCAGACUGUGUUGUUUAUUAAUUCAGAACAGUGUUUCAGUUUCACUAUUCAUGUUAUCAAAAAUUCCAACAUUGUGUUGAGUGCAAUCUCAUGUUAGAGUGAUAAUGGGACGGAAAGUACAGGAGAGGUGAAUAGAAGGUGCGUAGCAUAAACUAUUCACCAGAGAGCACGAGACAGGUGGAAAGCGAAUGAGAGAAAGCAGUGUUCCUGCAUUUCCAUACCUCUAUCCACUAGUGACAACACCCAAAACAGAUGCACUCUACAUUUUAACAGUUUGUCGAAGAAGCUUUUGUUUGCUUCAUUGUAUUUUUCUCUUUUGGCUUGUUUUUUUUUUUUUUUUUUACACCCUUCCUUUCACAUCAGUUCUUUACUCUGGAGGCUUCCUUACUGCUCACAAACAACAACUGUCUCCCACUCGGCUCUGUUUGAUGACCUACAUUACAUUCUCUUUGCAUGAAGGUACAGCGGGCUUACAUGUUCUGUGUGCAUAAACUGCGGUGUAAAUGACUUGAACAAAAGGGUGGAGCGGCCGUAUGGGGAUGGAAAUGAAAGCACGUAGCACUGUAGAGGACACACUGCAUCAAGAGAGUUUGGUGUAGUCUAAACACCACCACGGAAGAUUUGUGCCACUGAUCAUGGCUUGUGUUGGUGCAACGUGUGUGUCAACUUGUUUCAUAUUCAUGUGUGUGAAGGAAAAGCUUGGGACACGUGCACUCGUCAUCCUUUACAAGUUUGUCCCCUCGCACGUGAAACCUAGCCAGCACUCCUUUGGGGCCAGCUAGCAGCCAAAUGGUUUGACAAGCUGCAUGUCAAAAACAAUCCGUAGCUGUAAAGUACAGCUUCUACCUUUGGGGUCGGGUGUGGGAACUUCCAAUCAUUGCACAUCUGUAGAUAUUAUUCACAGAAAAUCAUCCCAAAUAUGUUUCAUAUGGCUGGAUGGUGCACACAUUGUACAUCGUUUGAUCAUAAAACAAGACCACAUAGUGGCGAAAUCAUAUACUUACUUCUAUUGUAC